rnacentral:rRNA from 1 species
AUUGAACGCUGGCGGCAGGCCUAACACAUGCAAGUCGAGCGAGCGGCGGACGGGUGUGUAAUGUGUGGGGAUCUGCCUGGUGGAGGGGGAUAACUUGUGGAAACGGUAGCUAAUCCCGCAUACUCACAGAUGACCCCAUAGGGGAUUGGCUAGUAGGUGGGGUAACGGCUCACCUAGGCGACGAUCCCUAGCUGGUCUGAGAGGAUGACCAGCCACACUGGAACUGAGACACGGUCCAGACUCCUACGGGAGGCAGCAGUGGGGAAUAUUGCACAAUGGGCGCAAGCCUGAUGCAGCCAUGCCGCGUGUAUGAAGAAGGCCUUCGGGUUGUAAAGUACUUUCAGUGGGGAGGCGUUACCGGCAGAAGAAGCACCGGCUAACUCCGUGCCAGCAGCCGCGGUAAUAC